CAAGGUCUCCGUUGGUGAACCAGCGGAGGGAUCAUUACUGAGUUAUCUAAACUCCAACCCUAUGUGAACUUACCGCCGUUGCCUCGGCGGGCCGCGUUCGCCCUGUAGUUUACUACCUGGCGGCGCGCUACAGGCCCGCCGGUGGACUGCUAAACUCUGUUAUAUAUAUACGUAUCUCUGAAUGCUUCAACUUAAUAAGUUAAAACUUUCAACAACGGAUCUCUUGGUUCUGGCAUCGAUGAAGAACGCAGCGAAAUGCGAUAAGUAAUGUGAAUUGCAGAAUUCAGUGAAUCAUCGAAUCUUUGAACGCACAUUGCGCCCAUUAGUAUUCUAGUGGGCAUGCCUGUUCGAGCGUCAUUUCAACCCUUAAGCCCCUGUUGCUUAGCGUUGGGAAUCUAGGUCUCCAGGGCCUAGUUCCCCAAAGUCAUCGGCGGAGUCGGAGCGUACUCUCAGCGUAGUAAUACCAUUCUCGCUUUUGUAGUAGCCCCGGCGGCUUGCCGUAAAACCCCUAUAUCUUUAGUGGUUGACCUCGAAUCAGGUAGGAAUACCCGCUGAACUUAAGCA
rnacentral:rRNA from 1 species